rnacentral:rRNA from 1 species
UACGGGGGGAGCAAGCGUUGUCCGGAAUUAUUGGGCGUAAAGAGCUUGUAGGCGGUCUGUCGCGUCUGCUGUGAAAAUCCGAGGCUCAACCCCGGACUUGCAGUGGGUACGGGCAGACUAGAGUGUGGUAGGGGAGACUGGAAUUCCUGGUGUAGCGGUGAAAUGCGUAGAUAUCUGGAGGAACACCGGUGGCGAAGGCGGCAUCCUGGACCGGCAUUGACGCUGAGGCGCGAAAGCCAGGGGAGCAAACGGG